rnacentral:rRNA from 1 species
UACCCAUCCACUAUCUCUCUCCAGAAAAGAACGCCUUAUCCUAAUCUCCUUUCCUCGUCUCAACCUGGUGGUGGCGAAGAACCAGAGGGCCACAGCCGCUGCCGGUGUCGUAGCCCGGGGUGUCGAGGGAGAGGCGACGGACUGGAGGAACCAGGCGAGCCGGUCGGCGGGUAACCGGAGCAGCAGCGCCAUCGUCUCCUCCCUUCGUCUUUCUUCUAGUUGGAGCGGGGUCGGCCAGCUGCCGCAUCCCCGUCGAGGAAGGGGCCACGGAGCUCACGCCGGAGAGUGGCCUAGUGCUUAGGUAAGGCUGCAGCCGCGCUGUCGUGUGGUCUGCUGACACCAAGGGCUGGUCCAUCGCCGGGGCGUGCAUCAGCAGCGACGCCUCCGAGAUUGGCCACCCGCCAUGGAUGUUCCUCUGGUCUGACCCUAGUGCCAUGGAACAAGUCAAGCACGCAUGGCAGCAGAUCGCUGCAGCCAUCCUUCUCACCUGGGAAGGAGGAGAUCCAUCAGCAGCCCAGAUUUUUUUGAUGAAACGGUGAAGAUGAAGAAGGAAAGCAACCGGAACGGGCGAAGAGAGGUGGAUAGGAAGUAAUUCUAAAAAAUACUGUAUUAGUAGAUUAAGUUGCAUCAGAAUAUAUAUGGAGCUGCUUAGUUCACAUCAACAGUUGCAUAAAAAUGCCUGGAACACAUUUUUUCUUUUUUAAUAGUUGUCCAUGAAUCACACUAAAGUUGCCUAUGUUAGAGAAUAUAUAUGUUGUCUCUACUUGUUGUUUUUGUGGUUCUUUUUUUUCGCACAAG